rnacentral:rRNA from 1 species
GGAGUUAGUUUUUCUGAAGUUUUCGGAUGGACGAAAUUCUAACUUAGUGGCGAACGGGUGAGUAACACGUGAGCAACCUGCCCUUCAGUGGGGGACAACAGUUGGAAACGACUGCUAAUACCGCAUAAGACCACAGUACGGCAUCGUACAGUGAUCAAAGGAUUUAUUCGCUGAAGGAUGGGCUCGCGUCCGAUUAGCUAGAUGGUGAGGUAACGGCCCACCAUGGCGACGAUCGGUAGCCGGACUGAGAGGUUGAUCGGCCACAUUGGGACUGAGACACGGCCCAGACUCCUACGGGAGGCAGCAGUGGGGGAUAUUGCACAAUGGGGGAAACCCUGAUGCAGCGACGCCGCGUGAGGGAAGAAGGUCUUCGGAUUGUAAACCUCUGUCUUCGGGGACGAACACAAUGACGGUACUCGAGGAGGAAGCCACGGCUAACUACGUGCCAGCAGCCGCGGUAAAACGUAGGUGGCAAGCGUUGUCCGGAAUUACUGGGUGUAAAGGGAGCGCAGGCGGAACUGCAAGUUGGGUGUCAAAUCUACGGGCUUAACCCGUAUCCGCACUCAAAACUGUGGUUCUUGAGUAGUGCAGAGGUAGGCGGAAUUCCCGGUGUAGCGGUGGAAUGCGUAGAUAUCGGGAGGAACACCAGUGGCGAAGGCGGCCUACUGGGCACCAACUGACGCUGAGGCUCGAAAGUAUGGGUAGCAAACAGGAUUAGAUACCCUGGUAGUCCAUACCGUAAACGAUGAUUACUAGGUGUGGGGAGAUUGACCCUCUCCGUGCCGCAGUUAACACAAUAAGUAAUCCACCUGGGGAGUACGACCGCAAGGUUGAAACUCAAAGGAAUUGACGGGGGCCCG